rnacentral:rRNA from 1 species
GUUUGAUUCUGGCUCAGGAUGAACGCUGGCGGCAUGCCUAAUACAUGCAAGUCGAACGGAGUGAAGCCUUCGGGUUUCAUUCAGUGGCGAACGGGUGAGUAAUACGCAGGGAACCUGGCCAUGGCAGGGGGAUACACUCUGGAAACGGAGCAUAAGACCCCAUAGGCAGUAAGGCGGCAUCGCCUUACUGUUAAAGAAAGCUGAAAGGCUUUGGCGAUGGAUGGACCUGCGGUGCAUUAGCUUGUUGGUGAGGCAACGGCUUACCAAGGCGAUGAUGCAUAGCCGGCCUGAGAGGGCGGACGGCCACACUGGGACUGAGACACGGCCCAGACUCCUGCGGGAGGCAGCAGUAGGGAAUUUUCGUCAAUGGGCGCAAGCCUGAACGAGCAAUGCCGCGUGAGUGAGGAAGGUCUUCGGACUGUAAAGCUCUGUUGCCGGGGAAAAAGGGGAAAUGCAGGAAAUGGCAUUUCAUGGAUGGUACCCGGCCAGAAAGCCACGGCUAACUACGUGCCAGCAGCCGCGGUAAUACGUAGGUGGCGAGCGUUAUCCGGAAUGAUUGGGCGUAAAGGGUGCGCAGGCGGUCUGUUAAGUCUGAAGGCAAAGGGAUGAGCUCAACUCAUUUAUGAUUCAGAAACUGGCAGACUUGAGGACAGGAGAGGGCGGUGGAACUCCAUGUGUAGCGGUAAAAUGCGCAGAGAUAUGGAAGAACACCAGUGGCGAAGGCGGCCGCCUGGCCUGUGACUGACGCUGAGGCACGAAAGCGUGGGGAGCAAAUAGGAUUAGAUACCCUAGUAGUCCACGCCGUAAACGAUGAGGAGCAGGUGUUGGGAGUGAAAUCUCAGUGCCGAAGCCAACGCAGUGACUCCUCCGCCUGGGGAGUAUGCACGCAAGUGUGAAACUCAAAGGAAUUGACGGGGGCCCGCACAAGCGGUGGAGUAUGUGGUUUAAUUCGAAGCAACGCGAAGAACCUUACCAGGUUUUGACAUCGGAUGCGAAGGCGCAGAGAUGCGCUGGAGGCUAUCAUCCAGACAGGUGGUGCAUGGUUGUCGUCAGCUCGUGUCGUGAGAUGUUCAGUUAAGUCUGGCAACGAGCGCAACCCCCGUGGUAUGUUACUAACGCUUUAGGGCGAGGACUCAUAUCAGACUGCCGGUGACAAACCGGAGGAAGGCGGGGAUGACGUCAAAUCAUCAUGCCCCUUAUGACCUGGGCUACACACGUACUACAAUGGCGUCUACAGAGGGAAGCGACCCUGAGAAGGGAAGCGAAACCGGAAAAGGGCGUCCCAGUUCGGAUUGAAGUCUGCAACCCGACUUCAUGAAGAUGGAAUCGCUAGUAAUCGCGGAUCAGCAUGCCGCGGUGAAUACGUUCCCGGGCCUUGUACACACCGCCCGUCAAACCAUGGAAGCCGGCAACGCCCGAAGCCGGUGGCAUAACCUUUUAGGAGUGAGCCGUCGAAGGCGGGGCCGAUGACUGGGGUUAAGUCGUAACAAGGUAACC